AUAAUGCUAACAUUAAAUAGAUGUUGGGGCAUUCAACAAAUGUGGUGCGUGCAACAACAAAUUAAAGCAGGUGGAUAACCAAUUGCAUCACCAAGACUAAUGGACCCAAAAAAGGUUUGCUCAAAAUUUGAUGACCAUCAUUCACAUGUCAUCAAAUGGAGCAGGCAAUGGCAGCCAACCAAAACAACAACCAGCACAAAUUUAUGUACAACAACCAAGCAGGAUGAGAGAUAUAAAAGCAAUAAAAUAAUCCAAACUCUUUAUAUGAAGAAGCAGAUAACUAGUCUUAGCAUCUAACGAAAUAAGCCUCCGAAAAACAAAACGCCCAGCAAUUAGAAAGCAGAGAAGGCGAAGAUGAAGAGGGAGGCUGAGAUUCACCAAUUAAUCUGUAACUAAUAAAUCAAAAUGGCUGCAAACGGUUGCCUGCAGAACAACAGCAGCAGACCAUCCAAGAUUGCAUCGCCGUCUAGAGAAUAGCCACUUUCUUCUCAAAAUGUAGCUUGUAUAGAAGCCAAAAGCAAUUCUGCUCUCCGAAUUUGAGAAACAAAGAAGAAAAGAAAAGCAAAAGAGAAAGAAACAUAAACAGAAAGAGAAAAAGAUAACAAGAAGCACAACAUUGCAGCCAUUAUCCACCCGAGAGUCCAAGAACAAGUAGAAGGAGAAGAAGAAAGAGAAGACCAACCAAUCUUGAGGAAGAGAUCUGGAAGCCGACCUAGGAAAAAGAUCCCACACUGUCUUCUUCUCGUCCCACUAUCUAACAAAUGCUUUUUGUCUGCGGAACAGCAGACCUUCCAGAUCUGCUCGCCCUAUCGCUGCUGAAGGAGGAGGCAUGCAAAGAAGAUGAGAAGAAGAACAAUCCCUUCCAGAAAUGCCUCACCUAUUACUAGAGAAGCUGACAUGCAAAGAAGAGAAGAAGAGCAAUUUUACAAGUCAUCCAUCAUCGCCUCAAUAUACGUACAUACACAAAAAAAAGAGAGGAGAAGAUUCCCCUACUCUUCUCCUCGGGUGAUGACCUCUGCAACUUACAACGGCUACAAAUCAAAAUCCGUUCCAGGUCUGGGGGAUGGCAGAGUUUCCAAGCUCUCAUUUGUCGCAAUUCGUUAAAAGGAAAUAAAAAUAAAGAAUGAUGAAGGAGAAAGGAACAAAGAGAAGAAGAUCAAAACCCUUGUUACCUGUAGUUACUCAAGUAGUUCCCUUGAAUGUUAUAAAAACCUAAUGUCAAGCAAUACAACUCCAAGUUUUCCAACAGCCUGAAUAGCAAUUUGAGGGUUUGGGUUCUUGAAACUCUAAUUUGCUAUGAAUUCUUUGGCGGCAAUACUAAUCAUAGUAAAGAAAUUCAAAAAACCCUAGAAAAAAGAAUAUUGAAAACAAAAAAAAACUAGGAUUAGAAAGCAGAGAAGGUGAAGAUGAAGAGGGAGGCUCAGAUUCACCAAUUGAUCUGCAACUAAUAAAUCAAAACGGCUGCAAACGUUUUGAUCUUGCCUGCAGAAGAACAGCAGUAGACCAUCCAAAUUGCCUCGCCGUCAAGAAGAUAGCCGUUUCCUCUCAAAAUGUAGCAAAACCCUCGUUCAAGAAUCAUCACAGCCUCCUUCUAUAGAACCCAAAAGCAAUGCCGCUCUCCCAAUUUGGGAAACAAAUAAAAAGAACAAAAGCGAGAGAGCAGAAACAUAAACAAAGAAAGGGAAAAAGAUAACGAGAAGCACCACAUCGUGGCCAUUAUCCAACCUGGGAGUCCAAGAACAAGGAGAAGGAGAACAAGAAAGAGAAGACCAACAAUCUUGAGGAAGAGAACUAGAAGCCGACCUAGGGAAAAGAUCCCACUGUGUCUUCUUCCCCUCCCCCAUCUAACAAUGGCUGCUGCUAGCUAAUGAAGAAAGAAGGAGGCGGAGGCAUGGAAAGAAGAGGAGAAGAAGAACAAUCCCUUCGCAAGCUGCCUAUAAUCAUUGCCUCAACAUACGAAAGGAAAAGAAGAGGAGAAGGAGGAGAAAAAGCCGGAGAAGAAGAAGAAAAGAAAAAGGGAGAAAGAGAGAGAGGAGAAGGUUUGUGCGAAGGGAUGGGCCUCUAUUUAUAGUUAUAGGCCUGCCAAUUAGAGCCGUUAUACCCGUUAUAAGCUUGCUUACGUCUUAAACGAUGGGGUUAUACAAUCUGAAGCAUCAAAUAAACAUAUUCACUGAUAAAUUUUUGCAUGACUCAAAAUUGUAUCCCCUAGUCAGUUCGCAGCGCCAACUCAGAGCCCACGGAUAAAUCAAAUCGAUUAGAAUCGGCUCAUAGUUGAUCAAGCCCAAUCUGCAUACAUUCACAGAAAGCUUAUAUUGAACAUUUUUGCAACUACACGUGAGAUGAUCUCUCGAGCCGAUUUCUGUAAAGCAUUUGAUUGUGUUAGUUGGGGCGUCGCUUCAAUUUGAGAGGCUUUAACUCUAAAUGGAUGGAAUGGAUUAAAGCUGCUGUUUGUCAUGCUAAAUCUUUGUUCCUUGUUCAUGGAGCUCAGAGAAAAUGGUUCGGACAUUGAAGGGGGUUGAGACAAGGUGAUCCACUUGGUUGCUCAGUUUAGUUGUUGGAAUGAUCAAGUUGGCAUCUGAAAAUGGAGUUAUCCCUCUAUCCUCACAUUCUCAUUCAUAAAAUUUUCAUUGUCGAAUUUGCAAACUACACCUUCAUCAUCUGCAAAGCUGAUGAGCUUUUAGCUUCAACUCUUAAGGUGAACCUUUAUCACUCAGAGCAAACCCGUAUCCAUCCGGACAUGAUAUUGCCACCCCUACUAUAUGCAUACGUAUUCCUAAACACAAUCUUUUAUUUGCAAAGAAGCUCCUUUUGAUGGGGACAUCAGGGACAUCAGAGCCCUUCGUUCAGAUGAUCCUGAGCCCCCGGAUUGACUCAAACCCGGAUUGGGUCCAUUUGAGUCCGAGUUAUUUUCUUUUAUUGCAUUAUUUGUUUUUGUUUUAGUCAAGUCAAUUUGGUCCGUUAUUUUGUUAUUAGACUGGUCAAUUGGGUUUAUGUAAUUGGGUCAAUAUGUAAGGUCUAUAUAAAGACCACCCCUCUCAUGUAUGAGGGAAUUGAUGAUUGAAUGAAAAAACCCUAGCCUCUUUCUUAUUCUUCUUCUUCCUCCUCCUCCUCUUCUCUUCUUCCGGCAUCUCUAUAACCUCUUCUUCCUUCUUCCUCCCUUGUUCUUCCUCCUUCUUUUCCUCUUUUCCUGCAGUUGUGCUACAUCAGCUUGGUAUCAGAGCCAGGUUGGCUUUGCCCCUGCUGCCAAAGCCAUGAUCCAGUUUUUGUUCUCCUCCCUCUCUCUCUUUCGGUUUUCACCCCUGUUCCCUUUCUCCCGGCUCUCACACGAAGAAUAGGGAAAACACCUUCGUCGAUUCGCCACGCACUCACCCCCUUGCUCACAACUCCCAAUCCCACCCCCUCUCAGCCGACUCACACCACCACCCCGUAGGGAAGUAGGCCACACUUCCCUCCCUUUCUCUCAGCUCCUACCAGAACGAAAGGGGAAAAUCCCCGUCGCCGGAUCCUUUCCACCCGCCGUUGCACCCAUGCCCAUUGCCACCACCAGGUGCCGCUAGCAACGCCAAACCACCGUCGGUCGCCCAUGCCGCUGGUAUCAAACCUCAUGGAAUCGCCGCCAGCAAACCCGAGAAUGCCGCCCUUCCGCGUUCGAUCCCGCCUUCGCUGUCACCAGCCCCCUUCAACCACGGCCGCCUUCACCGCCACUCGCCGGCCGAAACCCGUGACCAGCCGUCCCGUCGCCGCAAAGCCGCGGCCAGGAUCUCCGCUCCAGCCGCAAGCGCCGCCGCAAAGAGUGGCACGCCCUUCCGAAUCCGUCGAGAGGUUGAAGAAAACCAACCUAACGGGUAAGAUCCAAACCCGUUACCCGUUUCUCUGUUAGCCCGGAUCCAUCCCCAAAAAAAAAGCUACGCACGUGACUUGCACAUGAUGGACGCUUAAUGGGUUUUCGGAGCGGGUCACGCCCGAUAACCCGAAUCCUAAUGGGUCUGAGUUGAAAAAAAAGAUAAAAAAAAGAAAAGACAAAAAAAACUUACCUUUGUUCAUCUUCCCUAACCGCACGCUGCGCCGCCGCCCUCGUAGCGCCGCUCCGCCCGUGCCGCCGCCGUCUUCGCCAUCGCCAUUCCCGCCUUCGCCGCCCCGCACUCACCAUCGCCGCCUCACGCUCUUGCCCGUGCCCACCGCCCGAACCCCAUCGCCAUCUCCCCCCCCCAGCCUUCGCCCUCGCUUCCGCCUCCACCCGACACCACUGACCGGACCCAAGGGAAUCUCCCCUGCAGCGCCGCUUCCACCGUCGCCAUCCGCUGCUUCGCCACCCGAGAGCGCCGCCACCUUUUUCCCCUCCACUGCUCUCCAUCUCCUCCUUUCCGCCACUGCGACCACCACCUCUUGGAGGCCUCAUCUCCGGCCCUCACCCUUUCCCCUUUGUUUCCUCCCCACCCCACACACACCUUGACUCCCGAUGGCCCAUCGGAUCCAACAACAAGCCGACACCACCAUAAUACCAGACCCCUCCCCUUUUCUUUAUUCAACAAGCCCAACUCACAAGUCCAACCCGCCACUUCAAAGCCCACAUGGCCGACUCUCUGUUUGUCCGAUUCUGAGCCUGACAGGCCCAUUUUCACAGCAGGCCCGACGAGUUGCUGCGCACGGAUCUAAUUGGAGCCCUUUGACGAGUCUACUUGCUGCGCCGCGCUUUUGGUCGUCGCCCUUACUUUCAAACCCAUCAUAUUUGCCCUUUUAAAAUCUAGAUAUUAAAUUAGCACACCCUAGCAACUGGAUGUUUCUCAAUAUUCUUCGAUCAGAUUGAUUUAGGAUCAGAAUAACUGUACUACUUGAUUGCAAUUUAAUUUCUUAAAUUGAAUAAUCUUAAUCCUUAAUUCCGAAUAACCGAAGUAAAAAUCAGCAACAUUUAAACUUUAUGUUAUUCUUGUGAAAACUUGCUGAUAUCUGAAAUCAUAAUAGAUUUCAUUAAUAGGUUGUCCUGCAUCAAAUUUGGUCCUACAUCAUAUCUAUUAGGGUUUCAUUAGUGGCAUUGCAUUUCACAUCAUCACCUAGUGUCGUCAUUGUAUGCCAACCCGUAGUGAUAGGGAGUACUAUUUCAAUCAACCUAAAACUCCUGUAGCUACCAUGAAUUCCGACAUUUUGAGGUCUCUCAUAGAACAACUCGAUGCCAUGCGGGCUAGCACGAGGAAUUCAAACAAGAGAUCUGUGAGCUCAUGCGAAAUUCUAGAAUCCCUAAACCACCAACCCCCAUUGCAGCCCAACCUAAAAUCGAUUUGACGGCACCACUUAUAGUCCUUCCCCAUCCCCUAGUAACCAACCACCUCCCGAUCAUCAACGCAAUCUAGAUAAGAGGCUGCUGCGUACCGUAAGAGUAGAGGCCCCUACCUUUGCUGGUCAACCCGAGCCAAGCGUGUAUCUCGAUUGGAGAGCCGCUAUAGAUAAUUACCUUAAGUGGAACGAGAUGACUGACGAUAAAAAAGUGCGAUUUGCCAAAAUGAAACUUAUUGGGCAAGCUCACUGAUACUGGCAUAAUGUCGAACAUAUGUAUGAGACCCAAAGGCUUCCUCGUAUAACUACAUGGGAGGAUAUGAAAGAAAAGCUAAAUGAGAAGUAUCUGCCAUUUUCGUACCGACAACGCCUUAUGGUAGGUGGCAGAAACUAACUCAAGGGACAUCGACGGUUGCUGAUUACAUCGCACGAUUUGAGGAGUUUCAUAUGAAGUGCGGUGUAAUAGAAGAGGAGACCCUUACCCUCUCUAGGUUUCGGACAGGACUCCGCGAGGAGAUACAGAAAGAACUACUCCUCCGAGAGAUUACCACUCUUAACCAAGCAUACCAGUUGGCCCAAGAUGUUGAUAGUUUCUUAAGACUACCCGUGGUGAGGCCCAUCGAUCCUCGACCACUAGCCCUAGGAGCCCGACCUAACCAAAAUUAUCUCUCACAACCUAGACCGUUUUUCAAUCCUCUUAAUCAGCCCGGCCUAACCCAAGCACUGACUAGCACCUCUCCGAUGCCUGUCCCGAACCCUUCAACUGAUAAGAAAAAAGGAAUAUUAGGUUCCAAACCUCCUUCUCGAAACCAAACCCAAUGCUUUUGGUGCCAAAAGUCCGACCACAUUGCAUCCCAAUGCCUUGCCAAGACUUACCUGAUUACUGAACCAAAAGCUAGGAUCCAAGAGACCGAAUAUAUCGAAGAAGUCUAUGAACCAAAUAUAGGAGACUAUAUAGAAGACUUUGAAGACGAACCCACAGAAUUAGACUUUGUCCAAAAUGUUUUUCAAAGGAAGACUAUUGAUCUAAGUACAACCAAGCCACUUCACAUCAAUACUAUCGAAGAGGUAGUGAAAGAUAUUGAGAGCCAGUCACCUGAGUUGGCACUUGUAGCUAAAGAUACCCAUGCGGAGUCCAAUCUUGAACAUUCCCUGGUAGUAGUUUCCCUUCUAGAGGAGUUUCAUGAUGUAGUCCUUGAUGAUCUUCCGGAUGCACUUUCUCCAAUGCGUGAUAUCCAACGCGCAAUUGAUCUAGUUCUCGGAGCAUCUCUAUCCAACCUUCCACAUCAUAGGCUCAGACCGAAUGCAUAUGCUAGGACCUGAAAUUUAAUGUUACCGACAGUUGAGUUUGCAUAUAAUAGUUCGGUUAACAAGUCCAUAGGUAUGAGUCCAUUCGAAGUGGUGCAUGAUUACAAACCUAGGCAACCCAUAGACCUAUUUUUUAUGUCUCAUCAGCAUAGAGUCUUUGAGUCUGCACAAUCAUUUGCAUCGCAUCCACAUUCAUUGCAUCAAGAAAUCAGCAAUUGUAGUCACUUUGAUAACUUAAAAUAUAAAUCCCUUGCUGAUUUACGCAGACGUUAUAAAGAGUUAAGUGAAAGAGAUCACGUCAUGAUAAGAAUUAGGCUUGAACGACUUUCUUUGAAAACGUUUAAGAAAUUGCAAACUUGUAGUGCGGAACCGUUCCAAAUCUUAAAGAAAAUUAGUUCGAAUACAUCGGAUGUCUGCGAAACAGCAGACAUUCAAAAGCUGCUCGCUCUACCGCUACCGAAGACGACAUAACCGCCAACCCGCACCAAACUAUUUCAUCCACAGCUUAAGAGUUUAGACCAACAGUGACCAACAAACAUUAUCCACCUUGAAAGGCUUGAUCAUAUCAUGACAGGAAGAGGCGACAAAAGCACAGAAAUUACUAUAAUACAUCCAUGAAAACACUAAAGUUUUAUGUGUGUCUCAGUCACAGUGGCAAAAACAGCAUACAGAACCACAUAAUGCCGACUUUAAAUUGAUGUUCAGGCAUUCCACAAAUGUGGUGCUUGCGACAACAAAUUAAAGCAGGUGGACAACCAAUUGCAUCACCAAGACUAACGGACCUAAAAGAAGUUUGCUCAAAAUUUGAUUAACAUCAUUCACAUGUCAUCAAAUGGAGCAUGCAAUGGCAGCCAACCAAAACACCACCAGCACAAAUUUANCUACAACAACCAAGCAGGAUGAG
rnacentral:lncRNA from 1 species